CCACCUGUUCCAAGUUUCCACCGUCUCGCCUCAGGGAAAUUCUGGGGGGACCAAAAGGAGAGGGUCACCCCACACCUCCAACUCCUGCAAAUGAGCCCAUCCAGAAAGCUGUCUCUGGAGCACAUGCCUGUUUCCAUCUUCUCUUGCACAGUUUCAGGCCAUGUUUAAGGAUGGGAGAAGAUUGCCUGGCCUCCAGCCUGGAUGCCAGCCAGAACAGUGGUUCCCUGCUUUGGUGCCAGAAUCACAAGUGAUGUUCUAAGGAGAACUAUGAAUGCUUUACCAGUUGUGAGUUCCUCAAAUACACCCUGUUGGUGAAGCAGGGGGACUGUCCAGCUCCUGAGAAAGCCAGUGGAUUUGCGGCCGCCUGCGUUGAAAGCUGCGAAGUUGACAUUGAGAUGGUGUCUUGCUGUGUCUCUCAGGCUAGAGUGCAGUGUGCAGUGGCACAGCCUCAGCCCACUGCAGCCUCCCCAUCCCAGGUUCCAGAGAUUCUCCUGCCUCAGCCUGCCAAGUAGCUGGGACUACAGGCAUGCCCCACCAUACCCGGGUGUCCCCCUGAAGCCCAGAGAAGGGUUACAAUUUACAGAAUUGCCGUCUGGACAGCUGGAGAUCCAACCAACAUGUGAGAAUAAAAGGUGACAUGUUCCCUGUGCUCUGUGAGUUCAACUGACUGACAUAAGACC
rnacentral:lncRNA from 1 species